UGUUUUUGUUUUUGUUUUUUUUAAUGUAUACCAUAGUACCAGUAGGGGCUUAUAAUAAAGGAUUGUAAUACUAUUUAGGAAGUUGAACUCUGUAGUACAUAAUAGGAGGUAGGAUUGAGGUAAGUUUUUUGGUGUUGUUAUUUUGUUUUGUUUCAUUUUGGUUUGGUUUGGUUUUUGAAGUUAUGUGAUAUUUCACAUUUAAAUCUUUUUUCUUUUUUACAUGUUUUCUCUUGUGCAUCAAUUUAAAUGUUACAACCAUGUAAACUACUUCUCUUGUUAGAUAGAUUUUCACCUAGACUUUUUUUCCCAAAUCAGAAAAAAAAUACACACUAAAUAAAGCAGCAAUAAAAUAUAAAUCAUUCUAUUGGAGAGAAAUGCAUUGUUUUCUGCCAGUGGAUAUUUUCUUUGAAAGUUUGCAGACUGAGAGGAGAGAGGCAGAGCAACGAUGUAGUGAAAUGUUGAUCUUUGUUUUUUUUUUUUUUUUAAGAUAAGAUUGAAACAUGAAAUCCUUUCACUUUGGCAGAAAAACAUUUGUUUUCUUGAUGAAAUUAUUUUUACAUCUGAGGAAAAAAAUCUAGGAAAAUAAAACAAGUGAUGCUGAAUUAA
rnacentral:lncRNA from 1 species